UACGUAGGGUGCAAGCGUUAAUCGGAAUUACUGGGCGUAAAGCGUGCGCAGGCGGUUAUUUAAGACAGGCGUGAAAGCCCCGGGCUCAACCUGGGGGGGGCGCUUGUGACUGGAUAGCUAGAGUGUGGCAGAGGGGGGUGGAAUUCCACGUGUAGCAGUGAAAUGCGUAGAGAUGUGGAGGAACACCGAUGGCGAAGGCAGCCCCCUGGGCUAGCACUGACGCUCAGGCACGAAAGCGUGGGGAGCAAACAGG
rnacentral:rRNA from 1 species